AGCGAACAUUGGCGGUAGGCUUAACACAUGCAAGUCGAGCGAGGCGUAAUAGUCGAGCGGCGAACGGGUGCGUAAUACAUGGGAAUCUACCUCGAAGUGGGGGAUAACGUCCAGAAAUGGAUGCUAAUACCGCAUAAUCCAUAUUGGGAAAGCGUUGCAGCGCUUUGAGAUGAGCCCAUGGCUGAUUAGCUAGUUGGUGAGGUAAUGGCUCACCAAGGCGACGAUCAGUAGCUGGUCGGAGAGGAUGACCAGCCACACUGGAACUGAGACACGGUCCAGACUCCUACGGGAGGCAGCAGUGGGGAAUCUUGCGCAAUGGGGGCAACCCUGACGCAGCCAUACCGCGUGAGUGAUGAAGGUCUUCGGAUUGUAAAGCUCUUUCGGCGGGGACGACGAUGACGGUACCCGCAAAAGAAGUCACGGCUAACUUCGUGCCAGCCGCCGCAGUAA
rnacentral:rRNA from 1 species